rnacentral:rRNA from 1 species
UGGGGAAUAUUGCACAAUGGGCGAAAGCCUGAUGCAGCAACGCCGCGUGCGGGAUGACGGCCUUCGGGUUGUAAACCGCUUUCAGCAGGGACGAAGGUUUUCUGACGGUACCUGCAGAAGAAGCACCGGCUAACUACGUGCCAGCAGCCGCGGUGAUACGUAGGGUGCGAGCGUUGUCCGGAAUUAUUGGGCGUAAAGAGCUUGUAGGCGGUCCGUUGCGUCGGAAGUGAAAACUCAGGGCUUAACCCUGAGCCUGCUUUCGAUACGGGCGGACUUGAGGGAUGUAGGGGAGAACGGAAUUCCUGGUGGAGCGGUGGAAUGCGCAGAUAUCAGGAGGAACACCAGUGGCGAAGGCGGUUCUCUGGACAUUUCCUGACGCUGAGAAGCGAAAGCNUGGGGAGCAAACAGGCUUAGAUACCCUGGUAGUCCACGCCGUAAACGGUGGCACUAGGUGUGGGACCCAUUCCACGGGUUCCGUGCCGUAGCUAACGCAUUAAGUG